UACGUAGGGGGCAAGCGUUGUUCGGAAUUACUGGGCGUAAAGGGCGCGUAGGCGGCACGGCAAGUCGGGAGUGAAAGCCCGGGGCUCAACCCCGGAACGUCUUUCGAAACUGCCGAGCUAGAGUGCGGAAGGGGCAACUGGAAUUCCCAGUGUAGCGGUGAAAUGCGUAGAUAUUGGGAAGAACACCUGAGGCGAAGGCGGGUUGCUGGGCCGACACUGACGCUGAGGAGCGAAAGCGUGGGGAGCGAACAGG
rnacentral:rRNA from 1 species